UGUGUACACAUCUCAGAGCUUCCUUCAACCUAUCAUAAUGAGAUAAGUUUACUUUCAAAUCCACCUUAAGUUAAUUUUUCAUUUUCCUUCCGUUUAAUUUUUAAUUAAUGUAACCCAUCACCACCUUUUUAUAAGCUGCACCUUGACCUGAAGUCAAUAAAAUAGUUAAUUAAGAUGAUAUCUUUUAAGAAUCAUCUGACAACGGCGGUAUACAAACUAAACAAAAAAAGGCAAGGUAAAGCGUGGACUAUCGAUUAAGGGACAGGUUCCUCUGAUAAGAAUGAGAUGCCGUCAAAUUCUUUGGGUUUGAAGAUUAUCU
rnacentral:rRNA from 1 species